GGAGUUAGCCGGUGCUUCUUCUGUGAGUGAUGUCCUUCCUGCCGGCUAUUAACCCGCAGGCCUUCUUCCUCACUGAAAGUGCUUUACAACCCGAAGGCCUUCUUCACACACGCGGCAUGGCUGGAUCAGGGUUGCCCCCAUUGUCCAAUAUUCCCCACUGCUGCCUCCCGUAGGAGUCUGGGCCGUGUCUCAGUCCCAGUGUGGCUGAUCAUCCUCUCAGACCAGCUACGGAUCGUCGCCUUGGUGAGCCGUUACCUCACCAACCAGCUAAUCCGACAUAGGCUCAUCCGAUAGCGCGAGGCCCGAAGGUCCCCCGCUUUCCCCCGUAGGGCGUAUGCGGUAUUAGCCUGGGUUUCCCCAGGUUAUCCCCCACUACCCGGGGCAGAUUCCCUAUGCAUUACUCCACCCCGUCCCGCCCGCCUCCGCCCACCCGACGGGAGCAACGCCUCCCCGUCGCUCGCCGCUCGACUGCAUGUGUUAGGCUCGCCGCCACGCGUUCAUCUGAGCCGAGGAUACAAACUCUGA
rnacentral:rRNA from 1 species